CCUACGGGAGGCAGCAGUGAGGAAUAUUGGUCAAUGGACGAGAGUCUGAACCAGCCAAGUAGCGUGAAGGAUGACUGCCCUAUGGGUUGUAAACUUCUUUUAUAUUGGAAUAAAAUGUUCCACGUGUGGGAUUUUGUAUGUACCAUAUGAAUAAGGAUCGGCUAACUCCGUGCCAGCAGCCGCGGUAAUACGGAGGAUCCGAGCGUUAUCCGGAUUUAUUGGGUUUAAAGGGAGCGUAGGUGGAUUGUUAAGUCAGUUGUGAAAGUUUGCGGCUCAACCGUAAAAUUGCAGUUGAAACUGGCAGUCUUGAGUACAGUAGAGGUGGGCGGAAUUCGUGGUGUAGCGGUGAAAUGCUUAGAUAUCACGAAGAACUCCGAUUGCGAAGGCAGUUCACUGGACUGCAACUGACACUGAGGCUCGAAAGUGUGGGUAUCAAACAGGAUUAGAUACCCGAGUAGUC
rnacentral:rRNA from 1 species